rnacentral:rRNA from 1 species
CACGUAGGGGGCAAGCGUUGUCCGGAUUUAUUGGGCGUAAAGAGCUCGUAGGCGGUUCGGUAAGUCGGGUGUGAAACCUCCAGGCUCAACCUGGAGACGCCACCCGAUACUGCUGUGACUAGAGUCCGGUAGGGGAGCGUGGAAUUCCUGGUGUAGCGGUGAAAUGCGCAGAUAUCAGGAAGAACACCCGUGGCGAAGGCGGCUCUCUGGUACGUGACUGACGCUGAGACGCGAAAGCGUGGGGAGCAAACAGG